GCUGGGCGCAGUGGCGUAUGCCUAUAGUCCCAGCUACUCAGGAGGCUGAGGUGGGAGGAUUGCUUGAGCAUGGGAGGAUGAGGCUGCAGUGAGCUGUGAUCACUGCACUCCAGCCCGAGCAACAAAGCAACAUCCUAUCUCAA
rnacentral:sRNA from 1 species